rnacentral:rRNA from 1 species
GUGCCAGCAGCCGCGGUAAUACGGAAGGUCCGGGCGUUAUCCGGAUUUAUUGGGUUUAAAGGGAGCGCAGGCCGAUCGUUAAGCGUGACGUGAAAUGCAGCGGCUCAACCGUUGCACUGCGUCGCGAACUGGCGGUCUUGAGUGAGUUGGAUGUGGGCGGAAUUCGUGGUGUAGCGGUGAAAUGCUUAGAUAUCACGAAGAACUCCGAUUGCGAAGGCAGCCACGGGACCGUUACUGACGCUAAAGCUCGAAGGUGCGGGUAUCGAACAGGAUUAGAAACCCUGGUAGUCCGCACAGUAAACGAUGGAUGCCCGUUGUUAGUUCACUUAAGAAUUAGCGACCAAGCGAAAGCAUUAAGCAUCCCACCUGGGGAGUACGCCGGCAACGGUGAAACUCAAAGGAAUUGA